rnacentral:lncRNA from 1 species
CGAAGUUCUCGUCGGUUAGUUCGGCUCGGUUGAUCGCGAUGCCGAAUGAUGUUAGGAAUUCUUUUGGAUCGCCCUUUCCGUUAUAGGGCUCGAACUUUAUCUUUUGGCGCCCUCGGAGUGAGAUGCUGGUUAUUCUUCGAGUGAAAGGAGUUUGCUGUGUUUCUUCAAGGACGCGGUCGAGUUCCGGUGCGGCACUUGUGGCCUUAUGAACUUUUGUGUUCAUAUCCUGGACAAUGCGUCGUAGUUCGGCGAGCUCUAGGUCUCGGGUAUUUUCGCUCGACGAAGUGACAGGAUGGAUUUGCCGGGUCGGCACUUGGUUUCCUUGAGCGGG